GUAGGUGGCAAGCGUUGUCCGGAAUUAUUGGGGCGUAAAGCGCGCGCAGGCGGGGUCCUUUAAAGUCUGAUGUGAAAAGCCCACGGGCUCAACCGUGGAGGGUCAUUGGAAACUGGGGGGACUUGAGUACAGAAGAGGAAAGCGGAAUUCCAAGUGUAGCGGUGAAAUGCGUAGAGAUUUGGAGGAACACCAGUGGCGAAGGCGGCUUUCUGGUCUGUAACUGACGCUGAGGCGCGAAAGCGUGGGGAGCAAACAGGAUUAGAUACCCUGGUAGUCCACGCCGUAAACGAUGAGUGCUAAGUGUUAGGGGGUUUCCGCCCCUUAGUGCUGCAGCUAACGCAUUAAGCACUCCGCCUGGGGAGUACGGCCGCAAAGGCUG
rnacentral:rRNA from 1 species